GUGGCGGAUGGGUGAGUAACGCGUGGGCAACCUGCCCUGUACAGGGGGAUAACAAUGAGAAAUCAUUGCUAAUACCCCAUGAUACCUAUUGGUGGCAUCACCAAUAGGUCAAAGAACUUCGGUAUAGGAUGGGCCCGCGUCUGAUUAGCUAGUUGGUGAGGUAAAGGCUCACCAAAGCAACGAUCAGUAGCCGGCCUGAGAGGGUGACCGGCCACACUGGAACUGAGACACGGUCCAGACUCCUACGGGAGGCAGCAGUGGGGAAUAUUGCACAAUGGGGGAAACCCUGAUGCAGCAACGCCGCGUGAGCGAUGAAGGCUUUCGAGUCGUAAAGCUCUGUCCUAGGGGAAGAUAAUGACGGUACCUUAGGAGGAAGCCCCGGCUAAUUACGUGCCAGCAGCCGCGGUAACACGUAAGGGGCGAGCGUUAUCCGGAAUUAUUGGGCGUAAAGGGUGCGUAGGCGGCCUUAUGGGUCAGAGGUUAAAUACUACAGCUUAACUGUAGUCCGCCUUUGAAACUAUAAGGCUUGAGUGCAGGAGAGGAGAGUAGAAUUCCUAGUGUAGCGGUGAAAUGCGUAGAUAUUAGGAGGAAUACCAGUGGCGAAGGCGACUCUCUGGACUGCAACUGACGCUGAGGCACGAAAGCGUGGGUAGCGAACAGGAUUAGAUACCCUGGUAGUCCACGCCAUAAACGAUGAGUGCUAGGUGUUGGGGGUCGAACCUCAGUGCCGCAGUAAACGCAUUAAGCACUCCGCCUGGGGAGUACGGUCGCAAGACUGAAACUCAAAGGAAUUGACGG
rnacentral:rRNA from 1 species